CAGUCGCCGCGGUAAUACAGAGGGUGCGAGCGUUAAUCGGAUUUACUGGGCGUAAAGCGUGCGUAGGCGGCUUCUUAAGUCGGAUGUGAAAUCCCUGAGCUUAACUUAGGAAUUGCAUUCGAUACUGGGAAGCUAGAGUAUGGGAGAGGAUGGUAGAAUUCCAGGUGUAGCGGUGAAAUGCGUAGAGAUCUGGAGGAAUACCGAUGGCGAAGGCAGCCAUCUAGCCUAAUACUGACGCUGAGGUACGAAAGCAUGGGGAGCAAACAGGAUUAGAUACCCCCGUAGUCCCUGUCUCUUAUAC
rnacentral:rRNA from 1 species